rnacentral:rRNA from 1 species
UCGGGAAUUUUGGGCAAUGGGCGAAAGCCUGAUCCAGCCAUGCCGCGUGUGUGAAGAAGGUCUUCGGAUUGUAAAGCACUUUAAGUUGGGAGGAAGGGCAGUUACCUAAUACGUAUCUGUUUUGACGUUACCGACAGAAUAAGCACCGGCUAACUCUGUGCCAGCAGCCGCGGUAAUACAGAGGGUGCAAGCGUUAAUCGGAAUUACUGGGCGUAAAGCGCGCGUAGGUGGUUUGUUAAGUUGGAUGUGAAAUCCCCGGGCUCAACCUGGGAACUGCAUUCAAAACUGACAAGCUAGAGUAUGGUAGAGGGUGGUGGAAUUUCCUGUGUAGCGGUGAAAUGCGUAGAUAUAGGAAGGAACACCAGUGGCGAAGGCGACCACCUGGACUGAUACUGACACUGAGGUGCGAAAGCGUGGGGAGCAAACAGGAUUAGAUACCCUAGUAGUCCCUGAGCGGGCUGGCAAGGCGCAU